UACACCCUGCUGUGCACGUGAUGCCGGAAUGGGGUUUUGAGCCAACAUUUUGAUAAACGGGAUCCUAAGUCCAAUGGUAGCAAAGCGGUAGCCUACGGGCAAGGCUGAUCUAUCGGCUGGGUCCCACCUGCGACAGCAGGGUCAAAACCAUCGGCACACGACACAGUGGGGUUAUA
rnacentral:other from 1 species